rnacentral:rRNA from 1 species
UACGGAGGAUGCAAGCGUUAUCCGGAUUUAUUGGGUUUAAAGGGUGCGCAGGCGGACUGUUAAGUCAGCGGUGAAAUGUCCCGGCUCAACCGGGGCCCUGCCGUUGAUACUGGCAGACUUGAGCACGGACGGCGCCGGCGGAAUGUGUCAUGUAGCGGUGAAAUGCUUAGAUAUGCCACAGAACACCGAUCGCGAAGGCAGCUGGCGAGGCCGUAGCUGACGCUCAGGCACGAAAGCGUGGGGAUCAAAC